UUUUGAACAACAAAAGAUUUUAUUAUGCGCUGGCUCAUCCUGAAAUCACGCGUGGCCCAUCUCCUCGCCCAAAUUUACUAUGCGCUGGCUCAUCCUGAAAUCACGCUAAAAAAAGGCUCAUCCUGAAAUCACCCAAAAUUACGGCCGAAAUUGCUCCUCUCCAAAUCAAUCAGUUGCCGGUGUGUUUGCUCCCAGCUGCGCCGCCGGUCUCUCUCCCACCGCGCCGCCAUCUUCAACCCGGCCGGAUUCCUGCGCGUCCCACCUGGUUCGGGUCUUCUGCCGGCACGCACGCAGCUCCGCCGCUGGCCGGGAGUUUUGGCGAGGGCCUCCUUGACCGUCGGCAGCCGGCGGUGUAGAGGCAGAGGCUCCAUAGCUAGGCCGACGAGGGUACACUCAAGACAAAGCUGCGUACCAGAGGCUGCUUCGUUGAAUUACUACACAAACCUGGCGCAGAUUACCUUUUUGGCCAAUGGGUACCAUUAGUCGGCUACAACGACGUUGACAGUGGGUUAAUCAAGGUCGAGAAUAUGUUGGUCAAGGUUUCAUGUAUGAAGCACCACCGCUAGGAUGAGCGACUUCUUCACGUCAAGGGAAGCAGACCAAUGUGCUGCUCCUAUUACAUUGGUGCCCUUCACCACCAGAUGUAGUCACUCCAAGAGGCAGGGAGGGUUACCAAUGGUGGCAUGAGGUCGUUGUUGCAUGUCAUUGACGAGUCUCUAAUGUUCCCUGCCAGCAUGCAUGCACCAUCACCAUGAGAGGUGGAAGUUGGACAUUGUGCUAGACAACGCAAUCCCUGUGACUUAUUAUUAUUGUUUACAGGAGCAAAUAAUGAUAUUAUUGGAAGCAAAAGCUAUUUCAUUUGGAAGCAAAUUAUAAUGCUCCGUAGGAAGCAAUGAUAGAAGCAAAUAUUUGUUUCAUUCGAAGCAGAUACUAGUUCAUUUAGGAAGCAAAUAAUAUGCUAUUAUUUAACCAAUGUCGAGAGAAAUGUAUGUUUGUUACAUUGGAAGCAAACUAUUUUUUAAUUUGUAA